rnacentral:rRNA from 1 species
CCUACGGGUGGCAGCAGUGAGGAAUAUUGGUCAAUGGGCGAGAGCCUGAACCAGCCAAGUCGCGUGAAGGAUGACGGCCCUACGGGUUGUAAACUUCUUUUGUCAGGGAGCAAUUGAGUCCACGUGUGGUCUUAGCGAGAGUACCUGAAGAAAAAGCAUCGGCUAACUCCGUGCCAGCAGCCGCGGUCAUACGGAGGAUGCGAGCGUUAUCCGGAUUUAUUGGGUUUAAAGGGUGCGUAGGCGGAAUAUCAAGUCAGCGGUAAAAAUUCGGGGCUCAACCCCGUCGUGCCGUUGAAACUGAUGUUCUGGAGUGGGCGAGAGGUAGGCGGAAUGCGUGGUGUAGCGGUGAAAUGCAUAGAUAUCAGGCAGAACACCGAUUGCGAAGGCAGCAUACCGGCGCCCAACUGACGCUGAAGCACGAAAGCGUGGGUAUCGAACAGGAUUAGAUACCCGGGUAGUC